ACCUCGGCGGUGUAGUAGUAGCACGAGUCCCCGGAAAGGAUAAGGCGCGGGUUCGAAUCCCGUCUGAAGUU